rnacentral:rRNA from 1 species
AACGAACGCUGGCGGCAGGCUUAACACAUGCAAGUCGAGCGCGUAGCAAUACGAGCGGCAGACGGGUGAGUAACGCGUGGGAAUCUACCGAGCCCUAAGGAAUAGCUCCGGGAAACUGGAAUUAAUACCUUAUACGCCCUUUGGGGGAAAGAUUUAUCGGGGUUUGAUGAGCCCGCGUUGGAUUAGCUAGUUGGUGGGGUAAAGGCCUACCAAGGCGACGAUCCAUAGCUGGUCUGAGAGGAUGAUCAGCCACAUUGGGACUGAGACACGGCCCAAACUCCUACGGGAGGCAGCAGUGGGGAAUAUUGGACAAUGGGCGCAAGCCUGAUCCAGCCAUGCCGCGUGAGUGAUGAAGGCCCUAGGGUUGUAAAGCUCUUUUACCGGUGAAGAUAAUGACGGUAACCGGAGAAGAAGCCCCGGCUAACUUCGUGCCAGCCGCCGCCGUAACAC